AUUGAACGCUGGCGGCAGGCUUAACACAUGCAAGUCGAGCGGGGGAGGUUGCUUCGGUAACCGACCUAGCGGCGGACGGGUGAGUAAUGCUUAGGAAUCUGCCUAUUAGUGGGGGACAACAUCUCGAAAGGGAUGCUAAUACCGCAUACGUCCUACGGGAGAAAGCAGGGGACCUUCGGGCCUUGCGCUAAUAGAUGAGCCUAAGUCGGAUUAGCUAGUUGGUGGGGUAAAGGCCUACCAAGGCGACGAUCUGUAGCGGGUCUGAGAGGAUGAUCCGCCACACUGGGACUGAGACGCGGCCCAGACUCCUACGGGAGGCAGCAGUGGGGAAUAUUGGACAAUGGGGGGAACCCUGAUCCAGCCAUGCCGCGUGUGUGAAGAAGGCCUUUUGGUUGUAAAGCACUUUAAGCGAGGAGGAGGCUACUGGUAUUAAUACUACCGGAUAGUGGACGUUACUCGCAGAAUAAGCACCGGCUAACUCUGUGCCAGCCGCCGCGGUAAUAC
rnacentral:rRNA from 1 species